GACCGCAUCCAUAACGGUCGACAGUGACGUCACGUGCACAACCUCUCAACCCAUUGCGCGUUAGACGUUUAGACGAGGAUGACGAGGAUUCGAUUAGAACUACAAAAACGAAGAAAAAAACUACAAACAUGACGAAUGUGCGGGACUGACGGUUAAGUAGAGCGGUUUAUUUGACCGAUUAAUACUCAGUAUCUAACCUGACAUUGAUUUAAUCUAGCAACAGAAUUGUGGACUUUUAUAAAGAUGCGUUUGGUCAUUAACUUGUAAAUGAAUCACUAUGCAAACAUGAGGAUAGUUCUUCGCAUGAAAGCUAGACGCAUGACUGGCAGAUCAAUGUGAUACAACUUUUCUCCCCGAGUCCAAAAUGGAGCAGAAGGGACGUUUGGACCUACUGCCAGCAGGCUGUAACAGACAGAUGGGUUUUCACACAAACAACAGAAAACAUCAAGAGCAGUCAGGCUGGCACACACAGAAGAAUCAGCAAAGGGAAGAAAGUCUGGAUAAUGAGGCACUGCUAGCAUGAGAUGAUAAUUCACUCUGUGCUGUGAGAAGACAAACUGUCCAGUCCAUUUAGAGUUCAACUCCAUAGUUGCAAAGCCAUAUGCAGAUGGCGGGCAAACGUCAGAAUCCUGUUGAUAUCAAGUUAUCCAAACCGCACACCAAUGCAGUUUUGAACUCAAAGGACAAUUCUGAGAAAAAAGGGUGUUUCACUCCUGUACCUUGCCAACGAUGGGCAGAUCCACUGAACCCCAUGUGUCAGCACCCCAAUGGACCAGACCAGAGGCAAAGUCUGCUGUGAGGAUCCCUGCCACUUCAC